GGGCAGACACACUGAAGUCGCUAGACAUUUGAGGAACACAUCCGGGGAAGAAGACACAGGUGGCUGGUCAUGGAGAGCCCGCUGGGGGAAGAGCACACAGACAGGCACCGGCAGGCCAUUGACCAGCGGGACAAGGUGGAGUUUGGCUGGGGCAGUGGGAGGAGAGCUGGGGCCGCCGAGCUGCCCUACUCCAGGGGAAAACCACCUCCCUUCUCGCUCCCCCAUCACCGGAGAGCUACUUCCACUCAAUACAACUUUGCACUCAUUCUCCAAGCCACGUGUGACCAAUUUUUCCGGUACACCAAGGCGAGAAAUCCGGGGAUACAGAAAGCCCUCUGUCCUUGCGAUAAGGUAGAGGGUCCAAUUGAGCUAACACAAGCUGCCUAUAGACGGCAAACUAAGAGAGCACCCAGUAACACACGCCUGCUGGGGCUUCAGGAGCACACACGUCCACUGGGGCUUCGGGAGCUGUAAACAGUCAGCCCUAGACACUGUCGUGGGAUCGGAGCCCCACAGCCUGCCUGUCUGUAUGCUCCUCUAGAGGUCUGAGCAGCGGGGCGCUGAAGAAACGAGCCACACUCCCAUCACACGCCCUGAGAGGAGGACAAGGGAACCCGUACCGUUUCACUUGUGAUAGAGAUAAAGUUAUUAUUGUUGUAAUUUUAACUUAUAGAACUAUAAUAUAAUGGUACAAUGAUAUAUAUUGACAAUAUUCCUCUUUCACCCACAUUUUGUAUCUGUGUUCAAGAUUAAAUGAAAAAGGAUAUUCUCAAAAAGCUAGCAAAACCAAAAGCAAGACGUUAUGCCAAAUGUAAACAUAUUUCUGUUUAGCAAAUAGCAGGAGUGUAUAAAACAUUUCUCUUUUCACAUAACAGAAUGUUCUAUGCUUACUGUAUUAGUUAACAAAUUCAAGUCUGUUUAUUUUGUUUGAAAUUCCACUUCAUCCAUAAAUUACAGCAUUACACAAUAACACCAGAAGGACAAUAUCACCAUUGUUUGCUUUUACAGUCAUCUCAGCCCACAAAAUGCUUCCCAUUGUCAGCUUGCUAUCAUCAAGCUAUUGUUGUUUUCCUCUUUCUGGGGUCUUGUAUUAAUAUCAUUCAAAUUAUUUAGACACUCAACAGUGUUUUUGCUAUCAGUGCAAACCUCUAAAGAGCUGGAGCCCCAGCGUGAUGACCAAAUAACCCUUGACUAUUUAUCUUGCCGUAAGUCAUUAUUUCCUGAGGCCCUGGAGAAGCUGUGUUGCCAUGUGUGCACUGCAGGGACGGGGAGCUUCUCCUGCCGGAGCUGGUUUGUUCCACUGGACAAUGAGCCCUUUUCUGCUUGGCUCUCUGUAUGGGCACAUACACAAUGAGGCGGUUUAGGGAAGAGGGGUGAUGUGGGUCAUUGAUAACAACAAUCCCCGAACUUCUUAAAGAAUUGUUGAGCCCCCUAAAAAUAUGUUGUCUUUAUGAAUUAUCCUUAACCCUUUUUAAUUGCAUAAAAACUUCAGGCACUUGAAAAAAAUUAAAAAACGAAAAGUAAGUCUGUCUCUAGUAUCCCUCUUCUCCUUUGUAGAAUUACAUCCUUUAUUCACUCUGCCACUAUUUAUUAUGUGCCUCCUGUGUGUAAGACAUACUGUUAGUCAUUGGAAAUACAGAAAUGAAUGGGACAGACACACUUCUUGCCCUCAUGGAACUUAGGGCCUAAUGGGAGAUACAAUGUUAAGGUUGUUUCUAGUGUUUUUUUUUUUUUUUAAGAAUAUGUUCUACAUGUAUACAUGUAAUAUGUAUUCUCUCCCAUUUUUAAAAAACAUAAAUGGUGGUUUACUAUGUGUACGCUUUUUGGUUUUGCAUUAUUCUUUUAACAGUAUGUAGAGGAUGCAUUUUCUACUGUAUAGUGUUCUGUCCCCCUUAAAUAGCACUCUGAUUUUAUUUUGGGGGGGAAUCACGACUUUCUAAUUUUGCAUACUCCUUGUGGGAUUGUAAAUCAGGUCCCCUGUCCUCAAGUAGCCAAUGGUUAGGUAUGCAACCCAGCUUAUCUCUCUUUAGACUCAAUCUCAAGCAGAUCCAGAGUUACUCAGGAUCAGAACAAUAUUUGAAAGGCAUUACCAGAAUCCAGACAAGAUGAUGGAGCAAUACCUGAUGCCCAGUGGUCUAGGGUAGCCGAUUCCUGUUCUGCUCUCCAGGCUCCUGUCCAUUCUGUGGAUCAACUCAUAUUGCUCCAAUUCAUUUUGUUUUGCUUGCAUAAGCCAGAAUUAACUUCUGUUGCUUGUAAACAAAGAGAGUUAACCAAAGACAUACAGUAUAUCAGAGUAUAGAGACCUACUUUACUCUCGGUCAUUGCCUGCAUGAGUCUUCUUUAUAUGGAUGUAUCACAGUUUAUUUAACCACUCCCUUGUAAGUGGACAUUUAAGUCUAGUGUUCUGUAAAUAAAAGGUCAGAAUAUACGUCUGUAUACAGUAUAUAUUCUUGCAUAUCCACCUUUGGACAGAUGUGUGAAUGUGUUUUGUAGAAAUACAUUUGUAGAAAUGCAACUGCUGGGUCAAAGAAUUAGUAGAUUUUUAAUAACAUCAAACAGCGUUGAAGGCCCCCAUAUAAGAAUAACAACUACUGACUGAAGACAUAACUAAUUAAAAAAAUUAAUUACAGCUUAUUUGUAAUAACUUCUUAUUGUCACUGAGUGAAAAGGUAAUUCUCGUUGAAUUUACGAAAAGUGACUAAUAGGAAAUUUAGAAAACUCAGAGAAUAUAUAAAAACACAAAGAAAAGCCAGCCACCAAGUCGCUUAUAAUUCUCUCACCAACAGUGGCAGAAUUACAUUUAGUCAUCAUCAUUAUUCUUACAUCCAGUUUUAUAGUUAUUUUUGAAGAGGAUUAUUAUCAACUAUCAACUCUGUCAUAGCUGGAAGUAGAGGCCACUAAAACAGAUUUCUUAAACUCCAAGUACUGUAUAUGGAUUUUCUACUUUUUUUUGUUUUUGAUUACUAAUUUAGUUGCUAGAGGUCAGAGAACAUACUCUAUAUGGUUCCAACCUCUUGAAAUUUAUUAGGAGUUACUUCAUGGCCUGUUAUCAAUUGUGGUUACAUUUUACAUGUGCCUGUGAAGAAUGUGCCUUAUCUAGUUUGGGACAGUAUUCUAUGUACUUGCUUUGAAUUGGGUUUGCUAGUUGUGUUCUUCAGAUCUUUUACAUCUAUACUGAUUUUGUUCAGUUGGCCUGAUAGUAGCAGAGAAAUAGAUGUUAAAAUAUCCUACUAUGAUUGUGGAUUUACCUACUACUUGUUAUAAUUCUGUUAAUUUUUGAUUCAUGUAUUUUGAGGUUAUGUUGUUAGGUG
rnacentral:lncRNA from 1 species